GACGGGACCCGCACAAGCGGUGGAUGAUGUGGAUUAAUUCGAUGCAACGCGAAAACCUUACCUACCCUUGACAUGUCUGGAACCUUGCUGAGAGGCGAGGGUGCCUUCGGGAGCCAGAACACAGGUGCUGCAUGGCUGUCGUCAGCUCGUGUCGUGAGAUGUUGGGUUAAGUCCCGCAACGAGCGCAACCCUUGUCAUUAGUUGCCAUCAUUUAGUUGGGCACUCUAAUGAGACUGCCGGUGACAAACCGGAGGAAGGUGGGGAUGACGUCAAGUCCUCAUGGCCCUUAUGGGUAGGGCUUCACACGUCAUACAAUGGUCGGUACAGAGGGUUGCCAAGCCGCGAGGUGGAGCCAAUCCCUUAAAGCCGAUCGUAGUCCGGAUCGUAGUCUGCAACUCGACUACGUGAAGUCGGAAUCGCUAGUAAUCGCAGGUCAGCCAUACUGCGUUGAAUACGUUCCCGGGGCUU
rnacentral:rRNA from 1 species